AUAACACCGGAAACAGAUGCUAAUACCGGAUAACAACACUAGACGCAUGUCUAGAGUUUGAAAGAUGGUUCUGCUAUCACUCUUGGAUGGACCUGCGGUGCAUUAGCUAGUUGGUAAGGUAACGGCUUACCAAGGCAAUGAUGCAUAGCCGAGUUGAGAGACUGAUCGGCCACAUUGGGACUGAGACACGGCCCAAACUCCUACGGGAGGCAGCAGUAGGGAAUCUUCCACAAUGGACGAAAGUCUGAUGGAGCAACGCCGCGUGAGUGAAGAAGGGUUUCGGCUCGUAAAGCUCUGUUGGUAGUGAAGAAAGAUAGAGGUAGUAACUGGCCUUUAUUUGACGGUAAUUACUUAGAAAGUCACGGCUAACUACGUGCCAGCAGCCGCGGUAAUACGUAGGUGGCAAGCGUUGUCCGGAUUUAUUGGGCGUAAAGCGAGUGCAGGCGGUUCAAUAAGUCUGAUGUGAAAGCCUUCGGCUCAACCGGAGAAUUGCAUCAGAAACUGUUGAACUUGAGUGCAGAAGAGGAGAGUGGAACUCCAUGUGUAGCGGUGGAAUGCGUAGAUAUAUGGAAGAACACCAGUGGCGAAGGCGGCUCUCUGGUCUGCAACUGACGCUGAGGCUCGAAAGCAUGGGUAGCGAACAGGAUUAGAUACCCUGGUAGUCCAUGCCGUAAACGAUGAGUGCUAAGUGUUGGGAGGUUUCCGCCUCUCAGUG
rnacentral:rRNA from 1 species